GACCUCUCCGGUGGCCUAGUGGUUAGAGCAUCCUCCUUGGAUGUGGGAAGUCAAGGGUUCAAACCCCAUCUGAGUCG